UACGUAGGUGGCAAGCGUUGUCCGGAUUUAUUGGGUUUAAAGGGUGCGUAGGCGGCUUUGUAAGUCAGUGGUGAAAUAUGGCAGCUCAACUGUCAAGGUGCCAUUGAUACUGCAGAGCUUGAGUACAGAUGAGGUAGGCGGAAUUGACGGUGUAGCGGUGAAAUGCUUAGAUAUCGUCAAGAACACCUAUAGCGAAGGCAGCUUACUAGGCUGUAACUGACGCUGAGGCACGAAAGUGUGGGGAUCAAGCAGG
rnacentral:rRNA from 1 species